AUAUAUACAACUUUCAAAUAAAACCUUUAAUUAAAUUCAAUCACUAAAAUUGAAGAGGUGAGGUGAUUUUUACCUAUGCUGAAAGAGAAAAAAUAAAAAAUAUUCACUAUAAAACAAAAUUAUUUUCUUGGUCUCCGAAAAACAAUCACAAUAAUGUGAUUGUAUUAUUAUUAUUAUUAUUAUUAUUACAAAUUGAAUCCAGCGUAUUUAAUUU
rnacentral:lncRNA from 1 species